CCUACGGGUGGCAGCAGUGAGGAAUAUUGGUCAAUGGGCGGAAGCCUGAACCAGCCAAGUAGCGUGCGGGAUGAAGGCCCUACGGGUCGUAAACCGCUUUUGCACGGGGAUAACACCCUCCACUUGUGGAGGUCUGCAGGUACCGUGCGAAUAAGGGCCGGCUAAUUCCGUGCCAGCAGCCGCGGUAAUACGGAAGGCCCGAGCGUUAUCCGGAUUCAUUGGGCUUAAGGGGAGCGUAGGCGGGCGUUCAAGUCAGCGGUAAAAUCGCGCGGCUCAACCGCGCCCCGCAGUUGAAACUGGACGCCUUGAGUUCACAACAGGCAGGCGGAAUUCGUGGUGUAGCGGUGAAAUGCAUAGAUAUCACGAGGAACCCCGAUUGCGAAGGCGGCCUGCUGGACUGAAACUGACGUUGAGGCUCGAAAGCGUGGGGAGCAAACAGGAUUAGAUACCCCAGUAGUC
rnacentral:rRNA from 1 species